AUUGAACGCUGGCGGCAUGCUUUACACAUGCAAGUCGAACGGCAGCGCGGGCUUCGGCCUGGCGGCGAGUGGCGAACGGGUGAGUAAUACAUCGGAACGUGCCCAGUAGUGGGGGAUAGCUCGGCGAAAGCCGGAUUAAUACCGCAUACGACCUGAGGGUGAAAGCGGGGGAUCUUCGGACCUCGCGCUAUUGGAGCGGCCGAUGGCAGAUUAGCUAGUUGGUGGGGUAAAGGCCUACCAAGGCGACGAUCUGUAGCUGGUCUGAGAGGACGACCAGCCACACUGGGACUGAGCAACGGCCCAGACUCCUACGGGAGGCAGCAGUGGGGAAUUUUGGACAAUGGGCGAAAGCCUGAUCCAGCAAUGCCGCGUGUGUGAUGAAGGCCUUCGGGUUGUAAAGCACUUUUGGCGGGAACGAAAAGGACUGUGCCAAUACCACGGUUCGAUGACGGUACCCGCAGAAUAAGCACCGGCUAACUACGUG
rnacentral:rRNA from 1 species